AUGCUUAGGGCUGUUUUGAAGAAUAAUAAGAAAAUGUGGCAGGAAUGCUUGCCUCAUAUUGAAUUUGCUUAUAAUCAUUCAUUGCAUUCUACUACUAAGAUGUGCCCUUUUGAAGUUGUGUAUGGGUUCCUACCUCGUACACCUAUUGAUUUGUUGCCUCUUUCAUCUUCGGAGAAGGUUAAUUUUGAUGCUAAACAACGUGCUGAAUUGAUUUUAAAAAUGCAUGAGUUAACUAAGGAAAACAUUGAGCGUAUGAAUGCUAAAUAUAAACUUGCUGGAGAUAAGGGUAGAAAACAUGUUGAGUUUGCACCUGGAGAUCUUGUUUGGUUACAUUUGCGUAAGGAUAGAUUUCCUUAUUUGCGCAAAUCAAAGCUAAUGCCACGUGCUGACGGACCUUUUAAGGUGUUAGAGAAAAUAAAUGAUAAUGCAUAUAAACUUGAGCUGCCUGCAGAUUUUGGGGUUAGUCCCACUUUUAACAUUGCAGAUUUGAAGCCUUAUUUGGGAGAGGAAGAUGAACUUCCGUCGAGGACGACUUCAUUUCAAGAAGGGGAGGAUGAUGAGGACAUCAAUACCAUUGUUACACCCACAGCCCCUGCUGCUAUACAUACUGGGCCAAUUACUAGAGCUCGCGCACGCCAAUUAAAUUACCAGGUACUUUCGUUUCUUGGUAAUGAUUCUAAUGUUCACGAGAAUAUGAUGCUGCCUAAAUUGGAUACAUUUGUUUUGCUUACAAAUGAAGGGCCUAGCUUGGAGAAGGAUGAACAUUGGAGCAAGACCAAGCAUGGAGAUGAUGGCAUGUGCAAGGGGAACAAUAGCGGAGUUACAAGUGAUGAUUUUCAGGACUUUGAAGCCACCAUAAUGAGUGCAUGA
rnacentral:rRNA from 1 species